UACGUAGGGGGGCUAGCGUUGUCCGGAAUCAUUGGGCGUAAAGAGCGUGUAGGCGGCUUGGUAAGUCCGCUGUGAAAGUCCAGGGCUCAACCCUGGAAAGCCAGUGGAAACUGUCAAGCUAGAGUCCGGAAGAGGCGAGUGGAACUCCUGGUGUAGCGGUGAAAUGCGCAGAUAUCAGGAAGAACACCAAUGGCGAAGGCAGCUCGCUGGGACGGUACUGACGCUGAGACGCGAAAAGCGUGGGGGAGCAAACAGG
rnacentral:rRNA from 1 species